rnacentral:rRNA from 1 species
UACGGAGGAUGCAAGCGUUACUCGGAAUCACUGGGCGUAAAGAGCAUGUAGGCUGGUUUGCAAGUCAGAUGUGAAAUCUCACAGCUUAACUGUGAAACUGCAUUUGAAACUGCUUACCUCGAGUAUGGAAGAGGCAGAUGGAAUUAAUGGUGUAGGGGUAAAAUCCGUAGAGAUCAUUAGGAAUACCGAAAGCGAAAGCGAUCUGCUGGGACAUUACUGACGCUGAGAUGCGAAAGCGUGGGGAGCAAACAGG